UGGGGAAUAUUGCACAAUGGGCGCAAGCCUGAUGCAGCCAUGCCGCGUGUAUGAAGAAGGCCUUCGGGUUGUAAAGUACUUUCAGCGGGGAGGAAGGGAGUAAAGUUAAUACCUUUGCCCAUUGACGUUACCCGCAGAAGAAGCACCGGCUAACUCCGUGCCAGCAGCCGCGGUAAUACGGAGGGUGCAAGCGUUAAUCGGAAUUACUGGGCGUAAAGCGCACGCAGGCGGUUUGUUAAGUCAGAUGUGAAAUCCCCGGGCUCAACCUGGGAACUGCAUCUGAUACUGGCAAGCUUGAGUCUCGUAGAGGGGGGUAGAAUUCCAGGUGUAGCAGUGAAAUGCGUAGAGAUCUGGAGGAAUACCGGUGGCGAAGGCGGCCCCCUGGACGAAGACUGACGCUCAGGUGCGAAAGCGUGGGGAGCAAACAGG
rnacentral:rRNA from 1 species